CACCAGCUAAGGUACGAGUGGAAUAGACAGGAACGAGAAUCAGAGAGUUUAACGAAGCGUUGCACUCCUUCGUCGACUUUAAUCCUACCACGGAGUAACCCUUGAUUUUGAGUGGCUAAACGCUCUACCUUCGUAAGGUAUGUAAUUCGCUCUUUCUGCUCAUGGAAGUUCCUUGCAAAAGCGCUCCGGUAAUUACAGGAAAGCUUUUGUGUUUGGUCGGACAGGAGUCUGCUUUCGAAGCAUCUGGUUUUUGUUUUAUACUUUAGCCAAUAAGUAAGUUCAUUUCCACUUUCUUGACUUGACAUCAAGUAAGAAGAAGAAGAUCAGAUCGAAUCGAUUACUACUAUCUAUCGACUUGCUUGCUAAGACUUCCCAAUUAGUCUAGUAUGUCUCAGUGCUAGCAAGCAAAGCUGUCUAUGAAUUACUUUCUUUCAACAAAAGAAUGGAUUAAGGUGAUAGAG
rnacentral:misc_RNA from 1 species